ACAAUUAAGGCACGCGGUGAAUGCCAAGAGAGGA
ensembl:miRNA